ACUUCAAAUCAAAUCAUAUCAUCAAACGCAUGAGUUGAGUUUUCUUCUUUGCUCUGCUCUGCUCUGUCAUAUCAUUCCAUAUAUGCUCUCGGUAUGUGCCGAAAUUCUAAAAUUCGGGGACGGUGCCGACUAUUGAAAACCCUUGUUAGGUUUUGGCAUUUGCAUUACUACUUUUUGGUGGAAAGGUUGAAAUGUUUAUGUUUUAGGUAUUAUCUUAGCCAUGAAGUUGCGACACAAAUUGGAAACCAACUUGGUUUGGAUCAACUCUAUCAAAAUUGAGCUCUUCUUGUAGCACAGAAGAAGAAGGAAGAAGAAUGGAAACAUGCAAGUUAAUUAUUGGCAAGUUCUUUUCUUAGCUUCCUAGAAUUAUAUUGUAGACAUUAUUGUUCUUUUCUUCAUUAGAUAGACAUGGUUCGGAUUCAAGGAGAAGUCCCUCGAGUUUGUUUGAGUUGCAAAAGUGGUCAUCUUCGUGCUCGUGUGGGUUAUAUAAGAUUAGAAUGAUGUUUCUUUACGUUUUUCAUUUUGUUGCUGACAACGUACAUAAGUAGAUAGGAUUUUGUUGAGUGAAGAGCAGGAAGACCGUAGAGGGUGGCAAGGCUAGGGUAGCUACUCAUAUAAAUUUCCUUCUAGGGUGGCUUAAUUAGUCUGAUCUAUCGAGGACAAUGAAUACAAAACCAGUAAAAUACAAAAUUGAUGACGUUUAAAUCAUCUAAUUAACCUAGCUAGCUAUCAUCUAAUUUUCGUUCGUUAUUCAGCAUAAAUUUAUAGAUCGAGGAAGAUAAAUUGAACAGAGAUAAUUUUGUGGCUAAAAUUUUAGUUAAUCUUGGACAUAGGCCGAGUAACUUACGUGGCCGUAAGGAUUGAUGAGUGUGUUUCCCCGGAAACGUCGUUUUCAGCUCUUGUCUUUAACAUUGUAAAUCUUGAUUGCAUUAGAGGUACCUCCAUAUAAUAUAUUAUUUUCUUUUAUUAAUAAAAAAAAUAUAGUAGUUGAUCGACCAUAGUAGAUAGUAAGCAUAUGACGGAUGAUCGAGUUAUAUAUAGCAGAGUUUCCAUGAAUCGGAAACAUAUUUGUAUGGGAUUGCGAUUUCUAGGCUAAUUAGCAUAGUUGCAACGUGAAAUCGUUUAUGUAUAUGGCCGGUGGAUAUAUUCUUUUUUGAGGAAAAUGACAGACAAACUAGCUAGCUGUAUCUUGUAUUUCUUCGAUAUUUUUUUUUUUUUUUUUUGGUUGAGGUAUUGGAAGUUCGUUGUUGAGCCUUCCAAGAACGAAAGAGAAUUGGAUGAUAAAUAACAGAGAAUGAAACAGGCUAAGCUGGGCGGGUACGUAUGAUGAUGGACUAGCUUGGUCCAUGGAUCGCGUCGAGAUUUCUUUGUCUCAAAGUACGUUAUGCUCUGAGAAUAUAUUUCGAGUCGUUACGAUCAGCAGAUCGACCUCAUCCCGGCCUCGAAAAUCAGAAUAUCAAACAAAAGUAAUAUAUAUGUAUAUUGGUCCAGAUAGAAGAGCCAGAGUAAGAGGUAAUAAUCGAUCGAGUAUAUAUGACAUACAAGGAUUACCACUGCAAAACGAAACGUGCAUUAACAUGCCUGUGCUGUUGAACAUGCAGGUGUUUGCUGUGUUGCUAAUGCCAAUAGGUUCUUAAUUGGGUUGAGUAUCCUGGAUAUGAAAUUACAUUAACUAGAUUAUUGGUUUUAAUAUACGUAAGAAACUAACUAAGAAGUGUAGAAAUUGAAAACACAGGGCUAAUUAGUAAUUACAUUGUAAAUGCGUAUAUUAGCAAUAUUAGCAGCAGCAGUAAUCUAGCUUAGGAUCAUAAGGUGGGACGAGGGGUAGAGCCAGGUAAAUUAUAUAUGAAGAUGAAUUCGGAGGACUCGAAGAGUGGACCGUGCAUGCCCUACUGUGCCCUGCACUGACGUUCCUUUUGAAUUGAAUUGAAUUGAAUUGAAUAAGAUGUUGUUUUGUCUGUGUGUGAAUUUAGCGACAGUAGUAUUGUAGUGUAUUGGUAUUGGCAGAACUAGAACAAUGAUGGAAGUGUCAGGUAGAGAGAGAGAGAGAAACAGAAGAAAGGAAUGAUGGAAAUUCCUGCACAAAUGGAAUGAUGCAUUACCCUAUUCUCUCUCUCACUCUACUCGAUCGAUCUAUGGAUCCAAAUAAACCAAUUCUCUUCUUUCUUUUACUGUUUAUUUUUAGUUGAUCUCUUUUCUUUUUAUUUGGUCGGGAUUUUUUUCCCCUCUGACCACUCUGAGGCUCUGAGCUGAAAUUCGUGCAUAUUAUAACAGUAAUGUAAGUAAUUUUUGCAUUUUUCUUUUCCUGCAGCACAGUAAAGUAAGAGAGCAAACAGUGAAAACCAUAAUCACAUAGCUGGCCUGGAGCAGCACGACUGGGUUUGGCCUGGUAAAAGUAAAAGAGAUAGAGAUGCAGAUGAAGAUAAAGACAAAAAGUAGAGUCAGAAGGAUUGAAAAUGUAAGGGGGAGACGGCUUCGAGGACGCCGGUAUAUUUGGCGUGUGCAGGUGAACGUAAAUGUUCCUCGGCAAUCGCGUUUCUACCUGUACUUGUACAGUUAUACGUAUCUCUAUCAUAUCUCUCUCCGUAUCUGUAUCUCUCUGCAUGGAGAUACGAGGAGAGCAUAUAUAUCAGUAGUAAUUAUAUUUAAACCAAAAGAUUUUACCAAAAAAGAGUGAACGGAUGGGAAUGGGAUCACGAAGAUCCUCUUUGAUGAUAUCCAAAAUGAAUGAACGAAUCGAGUCUUCCUUCCUUCUUGUCAAUCUUUUCUUCUUCUCAUCUUCUGGGUAUUUUUGACUACGCUACUAUCCUUCCUUCUUCGUGACUACUCUAUGUGAGUAAUCAGAAUCAGAUAAUUAAACUAUGGCCGUUGCUUGGUUAAUCAAAAAAUUAAUUUGUAAUGGAUCGAUGCAGCAGGCAGCGAGGUAGCUAGACUGAGAGAGACAUUAAGCUAGUGAUUAAUUAACUAGCUAGAGGGAGGGGAAGGUUGAGAGAAUUAAUGUAAUUUUGUGGCGGGGCUGCUGCAGUGUUUAGGGUUUUACACUGGUAAGUGAUCUCGUUGAAGCUAUGUCGCUGCUAGCUGCAUGAUAAGUCUCAUCAGUCGCCGGGCUAUGGCUAGAAAAUGAUGACGUACGUAGACUUGGAAACAAGACUGAUCGAGAGUAGUAGCAAAUAGCUUCCAUAGGUGAUGUGAUAUAUGAUUUGAUAUACGAUAUGAUGGGUGGGUGCAAGAACUGAUUUUGCACAUUCAUUCUGUGUUCCCCAAACCCCACCCAAUGCCCCCUUAAUCAACUCGAUCAUCCUAUACACUUGGGUUCAUGGUGUUCAUAUUCUAUUCCUCCCUGGCCCUAGAGCUAGGCCAGCUAUGGAUUCUAUAUUCCAUAUUUCCAUGGCAUGCAUCAUCAAUUUCCUUCUCAACGGAACAUUGAUCAAACUGCUAUGUAUUUAUUGUCAACGCACAAACGCACCAUCAGUAGUCUAUCACUAAAGAGGCAGCAGCAACCAUCGGAUUCCAUCCCCUCCAACUCGGUUCUCCCUCCAUCAGAAAGACAGAAAGUCAGAAAUUAAUAGUCAUCAAGAUUCAAGACUACUUCUGCUCCGGCCAGUACGUGCUCCUGCAAGUGAAUUUUUCCCCCAGUGUCUGAUGAUUAACUGCAAUUAAAGGAUACCAAACUAUGGUGAUUAAAUCUUUGUUGGAUAUAUCCGGUACAGCAAUACUUACGGUCUAUAACAAUAGAGCAAAUACUAAAAGUAUUUUCAACGGUUUCUCUAAAAAAAAAAAAAAUUUAAAUAAGGAAGCAAAAACUAAAGUCUCUAAAAAAAUUUAUGUUCUAAAAGCAGGUUCCCUAAAUUGUUUGAUUUUCUCUAUUUUAGAAAAUAUGAGAUCAUUUUUCACUCCAACAGCUUCCCUAUCUCAUUCUCUAAAAUAGGAAAAGAGAUGAAAGAGAAGCUUUACUUCCCUAUAUUUACAGAUUCUCUAAAAAUAUUUAGGGAAAGAAUAAUUGAAUGUUGCACAUUCUUCAAGACUCAAAGAUAAGAAAGAAAACAUAAUUUAUUCUAAAAAAAUUAACUUUUAUAUUUUUAUACUUAUUAUUAUAUUGUAAAUAAAUAUUGUUGUUGUAAUAAAUAUUUAAAUCUUUAAAAUAGGGAAAUUGUUGGAUUUAGUAUACAAAAUUUUUAGAGAUUUUGAGUUUUACUUCCCUAUUAUGUAAGAAGCUCUUGGACUUGCUCUAACUCCAACAGUAUUUUGGAGAUUUCGGUAUUUAUUACAACAAUAAAAAAUGCUACAUAAUUAUCAAUAAUAACAAAAAAAAUCAUAUAUUUCAUUGUAACAUAAAUUACCCAAUAAAAUAUUCUAGAUUUUUUGUUCUUAUCGUUAGAGCACGUGAAUAAUUAAUAUUUGGGGAAUGAAGACUUUGUUGCAGAUUUGGGGAAUAAAUGUUUAUCUUUCUUCUCCAUCCCCAUUUUAAAGAAUGAGAUGAGGAAGCUGUUGGACCACAAAACAACGAAAUAUUCCCCAAAAUUGAUAAAAUAAAAAAAAUAGAGAAACUGUUGGAGAUGCUUUAAGUGAAUCAUAUUUUGAGCAUGCAACCACAUAUAGUUCACCUUACAUGUCAACUUAUGCGACAUAUACAUCAUCAUUUCUUUUUCGUAUCAUUUCAACAUCAGGUAUGAACACUACGUUGAGAAUAUCCAAAAUGAAAUAGAAGUGUUGGAAAAGCGUUCAACGUACACCAAUAAACAACAUGCAUGAUAGAAAUCGAAAAUACUUGGACGAAACUUUAUGUAUAAAUCUCUUUUUGACAUGUUAAGGAGCAAAGUCUUUCAUAAUUAAUUCAAUCUUGCCGUGAGCACCAAAAGAGUGAAGAAUGAUUAAACAAAAUAAUUCAAUCUUGACUUCUCAUUCUAAAGGCAUCAAUUAGUAGGUAGAAAGCUUGAAUGAUAUGGUUUCUUUAUCGAUCUUACGAGCUUUUCAGGUUAUAAUUAUUCUAUACCUAGCUUUGGGCAUUUCGUGUUCACAACCUCGCAUAAUAAAUCGAAAGUUAACUCAUAUCAGGUAGAAUGUUUUACUCAAAAGUUGGAAGUUUGCAGAAGAAUUAUACGUACGUACUUCUUUUGUUCUGUAGUCGUUUCUGGAUCGAAAAUGGCAAUAAGAACUUGCCACCCUUUGUCAUAUACGGCCAUCACGCAUACCAGAAUUGAUCGACGUUUGUUUAUCUACAGACAUGCAUACAAUUAAUACUAAAUUAAUCGAACGGAAAACCAUGAUUAUAUAUCGGAUCUGGCUCUAUUAGUAGAUUCCAUGAAUGAUCGAAUUGUUUUUCAUUUUAGAGUAUUAAUGAACUAGUAGCUAGCGUGUGAGGUUAAUAUUACAUUUACAUACAUAUACGUGGAUCAAAUAAUAUGAUGAACGCACACUAAUCAUGCAGAUUUCUAGCUCUCACUUGAUCAAUUAUUAUAGUUAAUCAUAUAUAAUACUGUGUAUCCAUGCCAUAUAUCAUUCCUGCAGGUGAUAUGUGAUCAUCUUUUUAGAACAUAGGAUUCGCAUGGAUUGACUUGUUUUAAUCUUGGAGAAUGAACUCAAUUGUGUUAGUUGGAUUGACUAUUAUAAUCCAUAGUAUCAUUCAUGUCAAGUGUGAAAGAAUCGGAACUCGAUCCAUGCAUGGCCUGGAGAGAGUUAGCAGUUCCUUUUAGAAAAACACCAGUACAGUUCUACUGGUGAUGAUCAGGUCAAUGAAUUAGGUUUUAGGUUUGACGAUUUCCUACCAAAAGAAGCAAAAGACUACCUUUUUUAAUCUAAACUCAAGGCAUUACUUACUUCCCCUCCACAAUCAUAGUCAUAUCAUAUCAUAUCAUAUAAAAUGUGGUGCCAUUUUCUUCUCCUGUUUCCGUUCUCUCCUUUUGGAAAGAAGUUAGGGACUGAAUCCCCGCAGCAAGAACAUGCAUGAUGAUCUUAAAUUCUCUAUGCAAAGUUUGACAAUGUACCGCUUGCAAAUCCAUGUCUGUAUUUUUUGUCCGGCCGCAAGAAAAAGAUGGCCACCUAGCUAGCUCACAUAUUAUAUAAACACCCACAACAUCCAUCUGAUUCCUAAGUCGUAGCUAGUUAGCUCGCUAUCUAGACGAGAAACCAACAAUUUAAUUUUAUAAAAUCUCUAUAUAUCAAACCUCCAUCGAAAAAGACAUUAGGUUAAUCAAGGCAACGCAGCUUGUUUUUCUAUUAUAUAUACGUAGAAAGUUGUAGCUGGGUAUAUAUUUGAUUAAUUCCAUUAUCAUUGUUCAUUUCUGGAGCCUGGACUGAUCUGCUGGGAACGAAUGAGGAGGAGGAGGAAUGAUUGGAGAGGAUGGAGGGGACGUUCGGUUCCCCACCAUAUUGACUUUUGGUAGCUCAAGACAUCAAAUUAGGUGAAAAAACUUUUAACUUUUGCAUCAGUCAAAUUCCAGUUCAUCGUCAAAUUCUUUCGUAUCUAGCCUUUUGGCGAUACCUGCUGCCUCAUCUGUCUCUACAUGCAUCUACUCUGAAUCUCCUGAUUACAAUAAUCAGAUCAAUCGGUAUACUAGCUAGCUAGAAACAAUGCAAGUUUGAUCCAGCAAAAGAAACACUGAUCAGGAUGGACCUUCCAGAUGGUUUGGUUUCUUUGGAAAUAAAUUCAUCUAGAAGCUUGUUGUUAAUUUAGUGUAUUUAAGAUGAACCCUUAGAUAGAUAAAAAUAUACAGUUGGAUAUAUAGUUCACCCCAACAGCUAGCUAGAACAAUAAAUAAUUUUACUAAUGUUUUUGAAAUGCAGGUUGAUGAAAGCCUUAUAUGCACGAAAGUAGGUAUAUAUGGACGGACCUUCAUUUCCCUAGGGUUGACAUGGUUUCCGCAGCAAGCUACUCCAUUUGUUAUUCUUAGACAGUACUCCCACAUUUUCUAUGUUAAUCAAAGCCAAGCUUUACUACACUUUAACGCAGACAGAAAAUGAAUUUCGGAAAUGAACUCGUGGCCCUCUUCUUUCUACAUCAUUGUUGUGGAUAAAUGAUAACGUUGCCGAUCUUAAUUGUACCCCUCAAGUUUAUAUAUACAAGAACGAACGAGAUUAUAGAUCCUCGUAAUUUCCAAGUUGGAACCGACCAAGAUCUUUGUCUGUGACUCUAUGAACCCAGCUAGCUUAAUACGCAGGUCAAAAUAAGCAGCCAGCUUAAAAUGCAUAACGUAUAUAACUUGUAUGCCAUGCGACCUGCGUUAGUACAUAUAUACAUUCUAAUACCCACUUUUUUCUUGCAUUUGUUUGGCUGGACAUGACUUUGUGAUCCAUCUUGAUUACAAGCAAUUAUCACAUGGUCAAAUGACUCGAAUCUAGGGAAUAUGUGACGAUUAAAUACGUAGGCUACCCCAAACCACCAAGUCCUCGAUCGAAAUGGAAUUAGCCAAUUAGGUAGUCGAAAACUUGAAUUGAAUGACACAAAGUUUGAAAUUAGCUUAGCUAAAUUGUGUUCUUGCUGUUUCUUUCCAGGGCCCAAUCCCCUAAGGUGGCCAUGUGCUCGAUCAUGCACGUAAUAAACUGCCAUGCAAGGGACCACCGGACGAGACUUGCUAGGGUUGUCCGGGAGAAAUUAUGAAGAUGAGUGGGAGAUGGCCUUAAGCCCAAUUGCACCCUCAGAAGAAGCCCAAUUCAUCCACUAUGUUCCAUGACACAAUCACUGUAGGGUGUAAGCCCAAUUAUAUCAUCAGACCAGAAAAAGGCGCCCAAUUAUACCCUCUGACUAGAAAAGGCCCAAUUACACAGUAGACGUGCAUUUUCCAGUAAAUAUGAUUCUAGAGUGUACCAUAGCAAAACGAAAUCAUCAAUUACUCCUUCCAGAAUAUCAAUACAAAAUCCAGCAAAUGAGGAAUUUAAUUUAUUCAAUAUGUUGAAACUGGUUGCACAACUGGGAAAAGAAAAGGACAGUCUAUAACAAUUCUCUCAGUACAGUUCCAGGAAAUUCAUUAUCAUUAGCGGUGAAAAGCAUCAAAUUAUCCACACCUCACGAAUUUAAGCUUCC
rnacentral:lncRNA from 1 species